UACGUAGGGCGCAAGCGUUGUCCGGAAUCAUUGGGCGUAAAGAGCUCGUAGGCGGCCUGUUGCGUCCGCUGUGAAAUCCCGGGGCUUAACCCCGGGCGUGCAGUGGAUACGGGCUGGCUGGAGGCAGGCAGGGGAGAACGGAAUUCCCGGUGUAGCGGUGAAAUGCGCAGAUAUCGGGAGGAACACCAGUGGCGAAGGCGGUUGCCUGGGGCUUUGCUGACGCUGAUGCGCGAAAGCGUGGGGAGCGAUCCGG
rnacentral:rRNA from 1 species